rnacentral:rRNA from 1 species
CCUACGUGUGUCAGCAGUGGGGAAUAUUGCACAAUGGGGGAAACCCUGAUGCAGCGACGCCGCUUGAGUGAAGAAGUAUCUCGGUACGUAAAGCUCUAUCAGCAGGGAAGAAAAUGACGGUACCUGACUAAGAAGCCCCGGCUAACUACGUGCCAGCAGCCGCGGUAAUACGUAGGGGGCAAGCGUUCUCCGGAUUUACUGGGUGUAAAGGGAGCGUAGACGGCAGCACAAGUCUGGAGUGAAAUCCCGGGGCUUAACCCCGGAACUGCUUUGGAAACUGUGCGGCUGGAGUGCAGGAGGGGUAAGCGGAAUUCGUAGUGUAGCGGGGAAAUGCGUAGAUAUUAGGAGGAACACCGAUGGCGAAGGCGGCUUACUGGACUGUAACUGACGUUGAGGCUCGAAAGCGUGGGGAGCAAACAGGAGUAGAUACCCUAGUAGUC